AUUGAACGCUGGCGGCAUGCCUAACACAUGCAAGUCGAACGGGGCAGCAAUGCCUAGUGGCGGACGGGUGAGGAAUACGUAGGAAUCUGCCCUUAAGUGGGGGAUAACCAGGGGAAACCCUGACUAAUACCGCAUGAUCUCUUCGGAGCAAAGAGGGGGACCGCAAGGCCUCUCGCUUCUGGAUGAGCCUACGUCUGAUUAGCUAGUUGGUAGGGUAAAGGCCUACCAAGGCGACGAUCAGCAACUGGUCUGAGAGGAUGAUCAGUCACACCGGAACUGAGACACGGUCCGGACUCCUACGGGAGGCAGCAGUGGGGAAUAUUGGACAAUGGGCGCAAGCCUGAUCCAGCAAUGCCGCGUGUGUGAAGAAGGCCUUCGGGUUGUAAAGCACUUUAGCCUGGAAAGAAAAAACUUUGGUUAACACCCAAAGUCUUGACGGUACCAGGAGAAUAAGCACCGGCUAUCUCUGUGCCAGCCGCCGCCGUAAAAC
rnacentral:rRNA from 1 species